rnacentral:rRNA from 1 species
AAAACAUCCUAAAAUAUAUUAUAUAAAAGUAAUUCAAAGGGGUUAUUAAGGAAAACUAAGGCAAAUUUAUAAAAAAAGGAGGUCUAAUACCAAAAGCUUACUAACAAUAAAGUAUUAAGUAAGCGCUCCUAAGGUAAACCUUAUUAAUCAAUUACUUCCUGAAGUAAAACAUUUUAUUAGGGAAAGGAAAGGAAAUCAACCGAGACUCCGAAAGUAAUGGUGAGUGAAAUCGGAUUAGCCUAAUUAAUUAAUAAAUUGAAAAACUUAAGUAUUUAGCAACGAAGGAAGAACUCUCUCUCCUUCUCCACGUAUUCGACGGUUUUAUAGCCCUCCGUAGGAGUUUCCUUUAUCUUUUUGGGCGAAGCGGGCGAAGCUCUCUUUAUUUUCAAUUACCAAAAAGACUUUCUCCUUUUAUGCAUCCGUCCGUAGGAGGAGGAGGUUUACUAAUAAGUCCUCCUUCUUCUCCUUCGGACCGCAAGGAGUACUAAGUACGAACUAACGAAGGUCUGGAUGCAAAAAUAUAUUAGUUAGUAAAACUUUACUUUAAAGUAGUGUAUAACAUUCUUCGAAGACGAAGUUUUACUCUAAAGAAGGUGAAAAACUAUAAGACCUGUAGGUUUAUUAAUUAAUAUUAGAAUAAGAUAAAUACUCCUUAUGAAUCCUCCUACGUCUUGUUUGUUUAUACCAAGCCGUAGGUAGGAAGGAAGGGUAAAUUUAUCUAAAUAAAGUACGAUGAGAGAAAACUUGUCGGAAUAUAGGGGUACCAUCCUCUAAGGCUAAGUAUUAUAAAUUUAGCGAUAGUGAAUAAGUACUGUAAAGGAAAAGUUUGAAAAGCGAGUGGUAUACAAAAAUGAAUUUUUAAAAUAUUCCUGCGAAGCGCGAAGCGCCCUCCGUAAGACCGUAGGACCGAAGGACCGAAGGAUCGAAGGUCCUAAGGACCGAAGGACCGAAGGAAAGGGUUCCUUUACUAUUUAGGCAAGGGACUCUUUCCACGUAUUCGACGGAGGGUAACAUUUAAGAAUGAAUUGGUGAAAUAGAUCUUGAAUUAGUAACUCUAUAAGCAGUCGAAAUUCUACUUUGUAUUGAAAAAGAAUCAAGAAUGACGGCGUACCUUUUGCAUAAGUUAAUAGGAGUAGCAAGGUUUAAAGCCCUAGCGAAAGCGACUGGACUAUAAAUUAAAAAUACAAAGAAAAAAUUUGUAUUAUAAGUACACAUAGUGAUGGGUCAGUUACUUCUAUUAGACCCGAAGCCAGGUGAUCUUACCAAGACCAGAUUAUAAUGGAUCGAACGGGUGAAUGUUGCAUAAUUCUCCGAUGAGUUUUGGUAAGCGGUGAAAUGCCAAUCUGACCUGGUGCUAGCUGGUUUUCUACCGAAACAUAUUUAAGUAUGACGUCUACACAAAAUUUAUGGAGGUACAGCAAGGCAAUUCCCAACAAGUUUAAGGGUUGUGUACUCACUCGUCUCCUACGGAGAGGAGAAGUUUUAACACAUCAGCCUUUUAGGCGUUUAGGUUGCGGGGACCUCGAAAAUCUUACCUUUGGAAGCGAAUCUCGGAAUUACAUAAAUUGAUGGUAGAUAUUCAGACUACUCAUGCUAAGUUGGGUAGUCAAGACGGAAACAGCCGAGAACACUGAUCAAGGUCCCAAAUGAUUGUUAAGUGAAAUUAAGGACGUAGCAAUAUCAUAUACAGCUGUGAAGUGAGCCUGGCAGUCGCUACUUUUAAUGAUCGUAUGUAACAACGCAUCAGCAGUUUAGAUAGUAGCGCCGAAAAUUUAACGGGUCUUAAACAAUCAACCGAUAUCGUGUUGGUUUAUAUUAUGAAUGACCCUUGUCCCUUCCUUGACUGUGAGGGGUAAUUACCCGUACUAUGAAUCCUCCAUCCUCUUCCUUCGGAGGGCAAGCGCAAGCGCAAGCGCAAGCGCAAGCAGAGGAGUAAUUCGUAUUCGACAGGAGGACGGACGGAGGCCUUUCUCCUCCUACGGAUGGAGAAAUAAGAGCCAGGGGCAAGGGCUAAUACUAAAUCUAGGUAGUAGAACAUUCAGUCAAACCCAUUAUAAAAUAGUGUUUCAUUAUUUUUUAGGUUACUGAAGAGAGAAUGCUGACAUGAGUAACGUAAAAAGAAGUUAUAAUACUUCUCGCCGAAUACGAAAGGGUUGCAAAUAGGAAAGGUUAAUCCGUUUUGUUUGAAUGCGGCCUCUAAGGACCAAAACCAAAGUUUUGGCUGAUGAGUAUAUAAUAGAAAGUCCAUUUUUUUAGUGGACCAGGAAAUGAAUAUUAUAAGUAAUAACAUUUUACGGUAUAACAGCCCGUCGACUCAUCCUAUCCUCCGGGGGAAGAAGCUUGGAAGGGUUCGGCUGUUCGCCGAUUAAAAGGGUACGUGAGUUGGGUUUAAUACGACGUGAGUCAGUAUGGUCCCUAUCUUCUGGAGGGAUAAUUAGUAAAAAGGGGCAGACCUUCUAGUACGAAAGGAUCAAUAGGCUGUGUUUCUCUAGUGUACCAAUUGUUGGUACUAUUUUGUUUAAGACCCCUAUAUCCCUUCCCUCUUGGGAUCAAGGAGGAUGGACAGAUAAGUGGGUAAAAUCCUUUUGAACUUUAAGCUAAAAAAAGUUCUUUAAUUUAAAUACCUUUAAGGUUAUGAUAAAAGGUCACAAAAUGGGAACGCAUAGUUGGGUAGCCACAAACAUAAUAGAUAAGUGCUGAAUGUCUAUAAAGCAAGAAUCUAACCCCUAGAUACUUUAAAUAUGAUUAUUUAUCUUAAUUAAAAGAUUAUUUUUGUAGUCCGAAGGUCCCGAAGGACCGGAGGAGGAGUAUAAUUGAGUAUAAUUUAGAAUAAAGAUCAUUAAUUAAGAAAUAGAACAUUUCUAGAUAGGCUGCAAAUAUAACAUAUUGUAAAAUAUUUAGUUUAGCAGUACUAAUUUAUAAAAAAACUAGGUGCCAG